AGAGGGAGGGGGAUAGAUAGGCAGAGUGCCAGCUGCAUUAUAGUACAGCUACUGACCCUGAAUCCUCCUGCCAACCUAGAAUGCUGUAGUAUCUGCUGUGGUAUGGCCAUGUAAUCAAGUUUUCAGCAGAGGAAGGACCCUGACUGCACAGCUGAUCAAAUGGGCCAUCAAUCAAGUGAUUCACAUUGUGUACUUAAGCUUAAAGUGAGGUUAUAAUUCAUACAACUACCUCCCUCCCUAAGCAGGUGCCUUAAACUUAAGAACUGCAAAAAGUACUAAAGUAGCUGAAAAUUUCCAGUUGCUAAUAAUAAACUUGAGAGCCUCUUCUCCUGACCUCCUCCAAAGAGGCACCUCAUAAAAUCAUAGAAAUUAUUUUGUUUUUUUGGUUGCUGGGGAUUACAGUUUUAUACCCAUGGAAGGAGGACCAUUAAAAGAUUACUGUAGUACAAAAUUUCUGACCAUGCAAAGAGAGGGCAGUGAAUAUGGCUUUAAAAGAGAGGACUAGCUAAAUGUGAAAGACGGUCAUUGUUUCCUUGUAUGACUCUGCACCAACUGAACUCGAUGAGGCUGGCUGGAUUCAAGAUAGAGCUUGAUUCAGUUCCUUAUGAACAGGCUUUUAGUGCCACCUGAGAUGGCUUCAGGUGUCUGAAGGACAUCUGAAAUGAGACAGUACUUUCAUGGGCUGACAACCUUCAAGACCAGCUGCGAGAAGCCAGAGGGGAUAUCCAGGAUAUCUCAAAUGGCACUGUCAUGAUCAGACAUAGCAGAUAUCUAUAGUACAGAUUGCUCAAGGCCAGGAUCUUCCCUUUUGCCUCUGUAAGCAAAACAGUGAAACUUGGUGGAGAAGGUUGGAUGCAAAGUCAGCCACAAACGUGAUCCAAGGACUGGGUAGGCAUGUUAGGAAAGUCUGAGAGGGCUGAGUUUGUUCAACCUUGAUAAAAGAAGGCUCAGAGGAGAUCUUAUUCCCAUGUUCCAGUAUCUAAAUGGUGACUACAAAGAUGAAGACUCUCUUUUACAAGGAGUCACAUGGAAAAGAUAAGGGGUAACAGGCACAAGUUACUCCUGGUGAGAUGCUGAUUGGACAUGAGGGAAAUUUUCCACAAUGAGAGCCAUGAGCCAUUGGAAUAAUCUCCACAGGGAAGUGGUGGAUUCUGGAAUGUUGGACGCUUCUAAGAUGCACCUGGAUGGGGUGCUGGGAGGUCAUGCUUUGCCUAGAAAGGUUGGGCCAGAUGAUCCUUCAGGUCCCUUCCAACCUGGGAUUCUAUGAUUCAUAUCUUUCCUGUACUAUGUUCCGUGCCAAUCCUCCCUCCCACCACCUUUUCUUAUGAAAGCCCCAGGAAUUUAAAUGAAAAUCUACAUGCUUAUAAUUAUAAGCAAUAAUUAUAUUUUUACUUUGCAUA